GUCAGGGCGUGAGUUGGGAGGGUUGUCUAUGUUAGUUGUCUAUGAUUUUCUAUUUCUGUGUUUGGCCUGGUAUGGUUCUCAAUCAGAGGCAGCUGUCAAUUGUUGUCCCUGAUUGAGAACCAUAUUUAGGUAGCCUAUUUUCCAUUGUGUUUUGUGGGUGGUAAUUUUCUGUUUAGUGUCGUGUUGCACCUUACAGGACUGUUUGUUGGUUGUUUAUUGUUUUGUUUUCCGUGUUCAUUAAAGUAUGAACACCUAUCACGCUGCACCUUGGUCCUCCUCUCUAUCUCCAGACGUCAACUGUUACAACAUCAUCAUCAUGAGUAGGGACAACCCUGGCAAAAUAUUGGUCAACAACCAGUAUGUGAACUUGCUGUUUGAUGUAGAAGAUGGCCAACUGUCCAUCUUCCGCAGUGGGUAUUUCGGGGUGGUGAAGACCAAAUUUGGCCUGACACUGAAGUUCAACUGGAACAGCCAUGUCUCCCUAACCCUCCCCAGCUCCUACUCAGACCUCAUCGGAGGGCUCUGCGGAAACUGGAAUGGCCAACGGAACGACAAUCUCCUCAAACCAGACAGGAGCCCUGCUAACACCCCAACAGUAUUCGGGGACAGCUGGAAAGUGGGGAACGACCCUGGCUGCUCCAGCGACUGUGACGGCAAGAAGUGCCCCACCUGUGACCACAGCCUGAUGCUUGUUUACCAAACAGGGAAAUAUUGUGGCAGGAUCACAGACAAAAACGGUCCGUUCAAGUACUGCCACGCCAAGGUGGACCCCAGAGAGUACUAUGAGGACUGUGUGUUUGAUUUGUGUAUGUACCGUGGCCAUGCCUCUGCCCUCUGUAACGCCCUCAGCACCUACACCACUGCCUGCCAGGAUGCCCCUGCCAAGGUGGAACAGUGGAGGUCGGACAGCUUCUGUCGUUAGUGCACAGACACACAUCAGAUGUAUAUUUCAAAACAACUACUGUAACAAUUUUGAUCAUUACUAUAAGUCAGAAGUGAUUUGUCUAGCUAACAGCUUCUGGUUCCAACAUUAAAUUCUAUCAUGUUUGACCUAAUGUGUUGUAGCGUCUUCCUGUAAGACCAACAGCCACUAUGAGGUGUGUGCCUUAGGCUGCCCUCAGACCUGCAGCGGCCUCGAUGAGCCUGAGAGCUGUGGGAACUCCCUGUGCACUGAGGGAUGUGUCUGUUACAACGACUUCAUGCUGACUGACAGAGAGUGUGUGCUUCUGGCUGAAUGUGGCUGCGUUCACCAAGGCCAGUACUACCAGAUGGGCCAGGUGUUCUUCCCCAACGGCCAGUGCAAAGAGCGCUGUGUGUGUAACAAGGAUGGAGACGUGGAGUGUAAUGUAAAGUUUGCCUGCGGUCCCAGUGAGAAGUGCCAAGUCCAAGACUGGGUGCAGGCCUGUGUUCCCAUGAGCGCAGGCACCUGCCAUGUGAGCGGGGCCAGGAGAUUCCACUCGUUCGAUGGCAGCUGCUUGGGCCUACACGGGGACUGUGUGUACAAAAUGUUGGAGGUUGUGGAGAAAGACUCCAUUUGUUGUAUCAGCGCAGCGGUUGACCAAGAUGGAUGAAACAAUGGUCACAAGGAGGGUUGACAUACAGGCCUACAAAUACAAGAUAUCUAUGUCUCCCAGAGUAAACAGUAGUUUUAUGUCUUGUUUUGAUGUAUUCAUUUCAGUAUUAAAAAGCAACAUCUGAUUAGAAAAACUGCAGUUUUCAUUCUUUUCUCCUUUCACAGGUGGAUGACGUUGCAGCAAAUCUCCCACUGUCACUCGGAGAUGGAAAGGGCAGGGCCUACCAGAACGGCAUUAACAUCGUCGUGGUAACAGACUUUGGCUUGAUGGUGACCUACGACACCGUUGCUGGCGCCAUCAUACAGCUUCCAUCCACUUACAGAGGUGUUACCGGUGGUCUCUGUGGCAACUAUAAUGACAAGAAGGAGGAUGACUUCCUGCUGCCCAGUGGGCUGCAGGAGCCGUCUGUGGAGAAGUUUGCAGCGGGGUGGUUGGUGGUUCAGGAAGGGGUCAAAUGUCAGACAGGAUGUGACGGUGGCUUGAAGUGUCCUCCCACCAGUGGACCCCCACCGGCUUGUAGCGUCAUGAAGUCAACCAAGGGUCCAUUUGCCCAAUGCCAUGCUGUUGUGCCACCACAAGAGCACUUUGAGGAGUGCAUGAAGGAGGGAGAGGGUGGGGAUGCCCUGUGCCGCCACUUACAGACAUAUGUGACUUUCUGUCAGGUAUCCGGUGGCCUUGUCAGCAGCUGGAGAUCUGACCAGUUUUGUUGCGAGUGAAUUUUGAUAUUUAAAGUUAAUUUACCUUAUCCUGGUUUAUCUUAGUGUGCAAUAUUUUUCUGACCUAAUGCUCUGUUGAAAAACAAUUGAAGCUGAAGCUGAUUUAAUUUUUUGAUAACAUGCAUCUCCUCCCAUUUCCAUCUGUCCUCCAGCUCUGACGUGUCCAGCUAACAGUCACUAUGAGUUGUGUGCCGACACCUGUUCUUCCACCUGUUACUCUCUCAGCGAGUCUCCAAAAUGCCCACUAUGCCAGGAGGGCUGCCAGUGUGACGACGGCUUUGUGUUUGAUGGUGGCAAGUGUGUCCUACUGGAGAACUGUGGCUGUGUGGUUGAUCGACACUAUUACAAGUCUGGCCGGUCUGUGAUGCUGGGAAACUGUUCUGAGACCUGCAGCUGUGCAGCAGGAGUGUUGACCUGCAGGAACUCACAGUGCAAAGAGUUCAAGACAUGUGGGAUGAAGAAUGGAGUCAUGGACUCUGCUACAGAUAUUUUAAGAUCUCGAAAUCACAUGUCAGACCCCUGUGAGGGCACCGAGUGCCGUGAGAAAGAGUACUGUGUGGUGAUGAACAAUAUGGGGGUAUGUGUGGCCGAGUCCAAGGCCAACUGCUGGUUGUUCGGUGACCCUCACUACAGCACGUUCGAUGGCCAGCCCUUCUCCUUCAUGGGUACCUGCUCCUACAUUCUGGUGAAUACGACGGGCAAAGAUCCCUCCUUGCCUCAGUUCAGCAUCCAGACUAAGAACGAGCCACGAGUCAACUCCAAAGGCUCCUUCCUCAAGUCAGCCAACAUAGACCUGAGUGGUCACAGGAUCACCAUUCUCAGUGGCCAAAGAGGGACAGUGGAGAUUGAUUAGGACUGACCUCCCUGUGAGUUUGGAGUCUGGCAACACCCGAAUCACAGAGUCUGGUAUCCAAGGGACCAUCCAGACAGAUGUUGGCCUGAAGAUCACUUUUGACUGGACCGCCUUCUUCAUGGUGACCAUCAGCAGCAGUUACUACGACAACUUUGUUUCAUCUGUGACAUCUACAAUGGUAACAAAGCAGAUGACUUCACCACUCCCACAGGUGUGCUUUCGGCAAAUACCACGGCGUGGGUGGCAUCCUGGAGUGUUGCUGACGGUGAUCCAUUCUGCCGGCAUGUCUGUAAUGGCAACUGCCCCACGUGCUCAGAACCAGACCGGGCACUUUAUACUGGACCAAAGUACUGUGGUUUGAUGACAGAUGGAGGGGGCCCAUUUCACCAGUGUCAUAGGUGCUUCUACACCUGCAUUGCUUGCUGUUUGGGGUUUUAGGCUGGGUUUCUGUACAGCACUUUGAGAUAUCAGCUGAUGUACGAAGGGCUAUAUAAAUACAUUUGAUUUGAUUCAUAAGAAAGUUCCGGUGAAGGAGUUUGCCUCAAACUGCCUCUAUGAUGUGUGUCUGAAUGAGGGUCGACAGGAAGUGUUGUGUGAGACCUUGGCUAACUACGUGGCCAAAUGUCAUCAGGUUGGGGCUGUAGUCUCACGGCUGUGGAGAAAGGCCUCCAACUGCCCUUACUACUCAGCUAUAACAAAACAUCACAUUUAUGAACUCAGACAUUCUGAAAUGUGUAAAAUGAAUUUGCAGAAUGUAUUAGGACUACAUUUGAUGUUUUUUUUUUCUCAACUCGAACAGCCCUGGCUUGCCCAUACCACAGCCACUAUGAGCUAUGUGGCACUGCCUGCCCUGCUACCUGUGCCAUUCCCAAUGUCCUCGAGAUCUGUUCCAAAGUCUGUGUGGAGGGCUGCCAGUGCAACAAGGGUUACGUAACUCAGUGGUGAACAAUGUGUCAUCAAGGAAUCAGGGUGUGGUUGAAUGAAAAACUCAACAAAUAUGGAAAACCUGUACAUACCAAGUUUGGAGGCAAGAGCAUUUUACUUUUCAAAUAAACUCUCAUGGCUCCAAAAUAUCAUUUAAAAACAUUCAUUUCAUGUCCAGGUUGUAGGCUAGAGCAUUUCGACAUAAAAUCGUACCUUAAAAUGACCUUCUGUAUGUGAUAACAUAUUCUGAACUAUAUAAUGUUGUGAGGGAUUAUGAGUAUUCAUGCAUGGAAUGGCUAUUGAACUCUGUAUUCAUUAUAAUCCCAGAAUUGUGUAUUACUAAAACUCAGAUCAUCUCUGUAUGUGUGUAUAUCUCUGUCUAGCCUUUACAACUUUCAAAAGUUUUGAUUUAAUCAGAUAACUCAACCUCUCAAGUAAUUAAUUCAAACAAAACUGUUGAGUGUUUUAAUCUUGAAGUAUAUGCCAUAUUACAGGGGGCAAAAAAGUAUUUAGUCAGCCACAAGUUCUCCCACUUAAAGAUGAGAGAGGCCUGUAAUUUUCAUCAUAGGUACACUUCAACUACGACAGACAAAAUGAGAAGAAAAAAAAUCCAGAAAAUCACAUUGUAGGAUUUUUAAUGAAUUUAUUUGCAAAUUAUGGUGGAAAAUAAGUAUUUGGUCACCUACAAACAAGCAAGAUAUCUGUGUCUCACAGACCUGUAACUUCUUCUUUAAGAGGCUCCUCUGUCCUCCACUCGUUACCUGUAUUAAUGGCACCUGUUUGAACUUGUUAUCAGUAUAAAAGACACCUGUCCACAACCUCAAACAGUCACACUCCACUCCACUAUUGGAUUGCAAAUCCAAUCAGUUUUUCACGUUGAUUCAAUGUCAUAACAUAGAUUUUGGGGGGGUUGAAAUGACAUGGAACAAUGUUGAUUCAAUCAGUUUUUGCCCAGUGGGUGUUAUUGCAAAAUGGUAUCGUGGUAUUGUUGUGACUUUUUUUUCUCUCUAAAAAGCAGAAGUAUGUGACAGUAAUUUCAGCGAAAUAGAUGUUUUAUGAUGACAUCACUACUUCUCCACAACCACCCAGUCUUCAAUAAGAAGAUUUUGCCCGGCCACUGCUGGUCAGAUAACACACAGCUGUUGGUACUACGUUCUUGGAUCAAAGAUUGUAUUGAUGAUAUAUUUUCUGGAAUACAACUCUCUUUCCUACAGGGCUAAAGCCACUAUGCACUGUCAAUACAUUCUACAGUUAUCUCUGUUAACUCUACUCUCCCUGCCAGCUACCCAGCUACCCAGAAAGUUGGAAGAAAGAUAUGGUUCACUCCGAGAGGCAAUACAAAACUAGACGGCUUACAGCAAGGAGAUG